rnacentral:rRNA from 1 species
UACGAAGGGGGCUAGCGUUGCUCGGAAUCACUGGGCGUAAAGCGCACGUAGGCGGCUUUUUAAGUCGGUGGUGAAAUCCUGGAGCUCAACUCCAGAACUGCCUCCGAUACUGAAAGGCUCGAGUCCGGGAGAGGUGAGUGGAACUCCGAGUGUAGAGGUGAAAUUCGUAGAUAUUCGGAAGAACACCGGUGGCGAAGGCGGCCCCCUGGACCGGUACUGACGCUGAGGCGCGAAAGCGUGGGUAGCAAACGGG